rnacentral:rRNA from 1 species
AAUGAACGCUGGCGGCGUGCCUAACACAUGCAAGUCGAGCGCGAAAGUCUCUUCGGAGAUGAGUAAAGCGGCGGACGGGUGAGUAACACGUGAGAACUUGCCUUUUGGUGGAGAAUACCUUCGAGAAAUUGAGGUUAAUACUGCAUAAGUCCCUCCGGGAGAAAGAUGGCUUUAUGCUAUCGCCAGAAGAUAGGCUUGCGGACUAUUAGCUAGUUGGUGGGGUAAAGGCCUACCAAGGCAAUGAUGGUUAACCGGCCUGAGAGGGUGAACGGUC